CCCGGAUUUCUUCACGGUGGGCCCAGGUCACAGAGUCCAGCACAGGCUGGCGCGGAGCAGGAGAGCAGCAAAGUGACCCAUCUGUGUGGCUGCUCCUUUCUCAUCGGAACAGUUCGCCCUCCCGGCUUGGUCUCCCCAGCCCCAUCAAGCCUGUUGGCUUCCUGAUCUCACUCGGGUCCCUUGGUUUUGAGGAGCCACUAUUUUUCAUUUCCCAAAACCUUCAGAGAGGGGUUGGGAAGGGAGACGCCGACAUCCAGGUUGGAGCCAAGUACCAACUGCAAAGACCUUGGGGUGCAGGGUGGAAUGAGUGCAGCUGCCCGCCGGGUCUCUGCUGCAGUAAGAAACGGAAGCGCUGAGGAGGGUGGAAGGAGAAAGGGAGUGUGGGCAACCAGUGGCUUUGGGUUUACAGAGGGAUCUCGCCAUGGAGAUUCCAGCCUGCCUAGUUCUGGGUCCCUGGUCCGAUGCCUUUAGAUUGUUCUCUUUCUUGACAGCACAUCACACACACACACACACACACACACACGCACGCACGCACACACACACACACACACAGCCAAUCACCACCUCAAACCCCCACUCAAGUCCACCUCCUUCCGAAAGGCUCUCACAACCUCCACCUCACUUUGAUCAUUUUGUUUCCAAUUUCCCUCUGAGCGCUAUGAGCUGUCUUCAAUCUUUUCUAUAUUUUAUUGUUUAGUUAUUACCUGUAGUACUUUCAACCCCACAGAUAAUAAACUCCUUUAUGGCAGA